rnacentral:rRNA from 1 species
GAUACGUAAUAGUGAAUUGCAGAAUUCAGUGAAUCAUCGAGUCUUUGAACGCACAUUGCGCCCUCCUGGUAUUCCGGAGGGCAUGCCUGUCCGAGCGUCAUUGCUGCCCUCAAGCACGGCUUGUGUGUUGGGCCCCGUCCUCCUUCCGGGGGACGGGGUCCGAAAGGCAGCGGCGGCACCGCGUCCGGUCCUCAAGCGUAUGGGGCUUUGUCACUCGCUUUGUAGGCCUGGCCGGCGCUUGCCGAUCAACCAAACUUUUUAUCAGGUUGACCUCGGAUCAGGUAGGGAUACCCGCUGAACUUAA